GUAGCUGGGGCUGAGAGGUUAAGGUGAUGGACUUGAAAUGCACUGGGGUCUCCUGGCACAGGUUUAAGUUCUGUCAGCUACC
rnacentral:tRNA from 1 species